GCAGCUCGGUGGCGGGGUCCCCGGGCCUGUGGGGGCCCCCAGCGUCUGAGGUGAGGCGUGCCUUGAGGCCUUGGAACUGUCUGGCCACGUAGCUGCUUCUGGACCUGGCCAGAGCCUGGACAUGACUAGUAGAUCUUGCUCACCAUGGACAGCACCCUCCCUGAGGUACCAAGUUGGACACUGCCAAUCUGCAGAGGAUCUGGUCCCCCAAGUGCCAUCCUUCUGGGCCAAGCCCUGAGUCCCUCCAAGCACCUUCACACAGGGAAAUUUCUACUUCUUGGAGUCUGCACCUGCACCUUUUCCUGCGUCUUUACGCUUGCAUCCCACCAAUGCCACCAAGUAUCUAUUCAUUAGACAAGUAUUUGUCGAG